GGUAGUAGAAAAUAUUUGAGUUCGGUCCUUGAAGACUGGAGUGGAGAAGGGUUCCACAUGAACAGUAGUUGAAUGUGGGUCGGUCACUCCUAGGAUGCUGGCUUAUGCCUUGUAUCAUUGCGAGGGAAAAGUUUCUUUUUUCUCGGAUAUCAAAAGGGAGUAGGGUUAAUAUUUCCUAACGCAGACACAGAUAUUGCGGCUUUCUCAGUCGCUUGCGCUGUAACAAAUUCGAACUUCGUUACGUCGCUCAGAGACCAAGCUAGAGUUCUCUUUUCUAGUUGAGGAACGGACUCCCUGGAAUCGGUUCAGCCGUAGAUAGGGACGUUGUUUCUCUAAAGCAUCGCGGUUUCUGUGAUGUCUCGUGUUCUCUGGACGGCCCUUGAAAGACCAAAGCAGGCUAAUAGUUUGUGCUGCAUCGUACCGAUAUCCGCAUCAGGUCCUCAAGGUGAAGAGCCUCUAGUC
rnacentral:ncRNA from 1 species